GAUGAACGCUGGCGGCGUGCCUAAUACAUGCAAGUCGAGCGAACGGACGAGAAGCUUGCUUCUCUGAUGUUAGCGGCGCACGGGUGAGUAACACGUGGAUAACCUACCUAUAAGACUGGGAUAACUUCGGGAAACCGGAGCUAAUACCGUAUGAUAUUUUGAACCGCAUGGUUCAAAAGUGAAAGACGGUCUUGCUGUCACUUAUAGAUGGAUCCGCGCUGCAUUAGCUAGUUGGUAAGGUAACGGCUUACCAAGGCAACGAUGCGUAGCCGACCGGAGAGGGUGAUAGGCCACACUGGAAGUGAGACGCGGUCCAGACUCCUACGGGAGGCAGCAGUAGGGAAUCGUACGCAAUGGGCGAAAGCCUGACGGAGCAACGCCGCGUGAGUGAUGAAGGUCUUCGGAUCGGAAAACUCUGUUAUUAGUGAAGAACAUAUGUGUAAGGAACUGUGCACAUCUUGACGGUACCUAAUCAGAAAGCCACGGCUAACUACGUG
rnacentral:rRNA from 1 species